CACUCUCUCCCGCAGGAUUGUCCCGUCGCCGCCCUGGAAGCUCCAGCGACCCCCACAUCACCAGAUCUGGCGGAUCCCGGCCUUCUUCGCCCGUUCCUGGUCCUCCUCCGCGCCUCACCGUCGGCGAGCCCCCGUCGUCCACCGCCACUGUUGCGUCCUCCUCCCUGCUCGUGCAGAGGCACGCUGACGAUGAGCAGGACCUGCUCGCUCCGCUUGUAGGCCCCGCCGUGGGCCAGAUCCAUCCAAGGCCCAGGAGCCCCUUGCCAGGCCUCUUUUCCACCGAACGGGCCUUGGCCCAUGUGAGCAGCGCCCAGCCCCUAUCCUGUGUUUGUUGGGCUAGUUCGAUAAUGUCGCGUUUGUGAGGAUCCGUUCGACUACGUCCGCUUGUCCUCUUCAUGGACUC
rnacentral:rRNA from 1 species